rnacentral:rRNA from 1 species
GAGCUUGCUCUUAAGAAGUUAGCGGCGGACGGGUGAGUAACACGUGGGUAACCUGCCCAUAAGACUGGGAUAACUCCGGGAAACCGGGGCUAAUACCGGAUAGCAUUUUGAACCGCAUGGUUCGAAAUUGAAAGGCGGCUUCGGCUGUCACUUAUGGAUGGACCCGCGUCGCAUUAGCUAGUUGGUGAGGUAACGGCUCACCAAGGCAACGAUGCGUAGCCGACCUGAGAGGGUGAUCGGCCACACUGGGACUGAGACACGGCCCAGACUCCUACGGGAGGCAGCAGUAGGGAAUCUUCCGCAAUGGACGAAAGUCUGACGGAGCAACGCCGCGUGAACGAUGAAGGCCUUCGGGUCGUAAAGUUCUGUUGUUAGGGAAGAACAAGUAUAAGUUGAAUAAGCUUGUACCUUGACGGUACCUAACCAGAAAGCCACGGCUAACUACGUGCCAGCAGCCGCGGUAAUACGUAGGUGGCAAG